CGCAGCCGCGGUAAUUCCAGCUCCAAUAGCGUAUAUUAAAGUUGUUGCAGUUAAAAAGCUCGUAGUUGAAUUUCGGGAUCAAUUUGCUGGUCGUGCCUUCGGUACGCACUGGUAUUAUUGGUUUCUCCUUUCUGAUGAAUCGCGAUGUCAUUAAUUUGGUGUCGUGGGGAAUCAGGACCGUUACUUUGAAAAAUUAGAGUGUUUAAAGCAGGCUCACGCUUGAAUACAUUAGCAUGGAAUAAUGAAAUAGGACGUUUGAUUCUAUUUUGUUGGUUUCUAGGAUCGACGUAAUGAUUAAUAGGGAUAGUUGGGGGCAUUAGUAUUCAAUUGUCAGAGGUGAAAUUCUUGGAUUUAUUGAAGACUAACUACCGCGAAAGCAUUUGCCAAGGAUGUUUUCAUUAAUCAAGAACGAAAGUUAGGGGAUCGAAGACGAUCAGAUACCGUCGUAGUCUUAACCAUAAACUAUGCCGACUAGGGAUC
rnacentral:rRNA from 1 species